rnacentral:rRNA from 1 species
AUGAAAGCGAAUAGGGACAAAGGGCACGAGAUUUUAAUAAAUACAGAGACGACAACAGUAACAGUCAGCCACAUGGCACAAAGCUUUGACAUUGGAAAGCAAGUGGGCAGCGAAACCACGGCAGACAUGCUACAGAUGUUGAAAAACCAACUCAGGGGCACAAAGAGAAAGAUUAUAUCAACAUACAACACCGCAUCAAUACACAUGGUCAACCAUGAAGAUCCAUUGGAGUUCAAAAAUAAAGACGCAGCACACGCCAGAGACAAGACAAUUCCUAAAAGGCUUAAAAGGUUGCUUGAUCUGGAAGAAAGAAAGCAACUACAAGAUUUCGACAUGGAACAAGUCCCAGAGUUGAGAAAUAAAAUUCUCUAUCAAAUAUUCAGCCAAUACAGAGAUACGUCCGCAUUGUCAUUAAUCAACUACACCGCAGAUAUGCUGAAAUCUGAGGUCGAUAUGGAAGACAAUGAAAUGGAACGAAUACAUUGUGACAUAAUUCAACAGGAGAUUCCUCCAACUCCCGAGCACAUUGGGACGAUCGAUCAAGAGAUAAAAGUUAUUGACAUUAAUGACACAAGCAGCGAUGAGGAGAAAAAACAUUAUCAUGUGAACGGCAAGGAUACCACCAAGGUGUCUGAAGAAGCACUCACGGAAGAUCAAGCCCAGGCAGAUGCUGGUUUACAGAGGGAACAACACGCGCAGCCAGACACUGAUUUACAAAAGGAAGACAAAUGGAAAGAUCCGCCGAUACAACCAGAUAGACCACCCCCAGAUAAAAACAAUGAAGGCACAACACUCUCUCCUUUAGAAGUGGAUAACAUGGCAAAGAGAGUACCAACUCGCCAACAAUAG